AGAUUGAACGCUAGCGGGAUGCUUUACACAUGCAAGUCGAACGGCAGCGCGGACUUCGGUCUGGCGGCGAGUGGCGGACGGGUGAGUAAUAUAUCGGAACGUGCCCAGUAGCGGGGGAUAACUACGCGAAGCGUGGCUAAUACCGCAUACGCCCGUACGGGGGAAAGGGGGGGAUUCUUCGGAACCUCUCACUAUUGGAGCGGCCGAUAUCAGAUUAGCUAGUUGGUGAGGUAAAGGCUCACCAAGGCGACGAUCUGUAGCUGGUUUGAGAGGACG
rnacentral:rRNA from 1 species